rnacentral:rRNA from 1 species
AUGGUCGAAGGUUUUGCUGGAGACUUAUCUGGUCAGCUGAUGUGCCCCCAACAAUUCAGAAUUUUGCUUGGCGGGUGGCUACAGAUUCUCUGCUCACAUGGAGGAACAAACACAACCGGGGCCUUGAAUCAAAUGAUCUAUGCCCGUAUUAAUUCCAUGCAAAACAUUGGUAAAGAAUGGCUGCUACAUGCGUUACAGCCUCUUUCAGAUAUUGAAAGGUCCAUGCUACUAAUGUUGUUGUGGCGGGCGUGGCAUAUUAGGAACGAGGUGGUCCAUUACAAACCGCCACCGCCUAUGGAAGCCUCGAGGCGUUUUUUGGUGAGCUACCUUGAUUCUCUUGUCGGUAUUAAGAUUGACCUGCCCUUGGAUGUAAGCAAAGGGAAAUCUUUUGUCACUUAUGAUAACCCUUCUAACUGGUCAACUGCAUUUACAAGAGAGACGGGGCCUAAAUGGAGUGCUCCCAAGGCUGGCUGGGUUAAACUUAGUUCUGAUGGUUCUUAUGCAGAAGAUGGCUCAGCGGGCGCUGGCAUGGUGUUGAGAGAUGACAAGGGUGAGAUUAUUUUUUCCUCUUGUAGGCAACUUUUUUCAUGUCGAGACGCUCUUGAAGCGGAAUUAUGUGCAUGCAUGGAAGGGCUGUCGUUUUCGAUCCAGAAAAGUGAGCUUCCUAUCGAGAUUGAGAUGGACUCUAUUGUUGCAGUAAAGUUGAUCCAGGCAAAGGAGGUGGAUAGAUCAGUUUAUUCAUCGCUCAUUAAGGAGAUUAGAUAUCUCAUGUCUAUUCGUGAUUCGUGUAUUACUCAUGUUAAUCGUAGCCAAAAUAAAGUUAGUGAUAUCAUAGCUAGAUUUGCUCGUUUAGAAGGCAGAACCAUGACUUGGAUCGGUUCGGGUCCUACGGCUGCUAUGGAGCUUGCUACGACUGAUUACACGGUGGUGAAAGGAAUGAGGCUAGAUAACCAUCUAAAUAUUUCCCUUUACGUUAUGUACAAUGCUUAUCUCUCUGAGUCAGCGAAACCCCCCAAAGCCAGCCCAAAUGGUUGGGCUAUCCAACACCCGUCAAACCCAACCCAUAAGUGGGGUGUAUUUGGGGCUGCCUGGACAUGGCCAGACGCAGCCGCCACGUCGGACCCGAUAGACAUUUCCCUCCUCCACCCUUGCUCCGCUUUUGCGUCGCUGCCCUCGUCCGCCGUCCUAGAUGUCGACGGCCACUACCCCGUCCUACACUCCCAUGGACUAUUGCUUGACAGAGUUCGUGAGGGUCCCAAUCACUGCAAGCAAAUCGGAGUGGAGGGGUAG